UACGUAGGGUGCGAGCGUUAAUCGGAAUUACUGGGCGUAAAGCGUGCGCAGGCGGUUCGCCAAGUCAGGUAUGAAAUCCCCGGGCUUAACCUGGGAAUUGCGCUUGAAACUAGCGGGCUUGAGUGUGGCAGAGGGGGGUGGAAUUCCACGUGUAGCAGUGAAAUGCGUAGAGAUGUGGAGGAACACCGAUGGCGAAGGCAGCCCCCUGGGUCAACACUGACGCUCAUGCACGAAAGCGUGGGGAGCAAACAGG
rnacentral:rRNA from 1 species